rnacentral:rRNA from 1 species
AUGAACGCUGGCGGCGUGCCUAAUACAUGCAAGUCGAGCGAACAGACGAGGAGCUUGCUCCUCUGACGUUAGCGGCGGACGGGUGAGUAACACGUGGAUAACCUACCUAUAAGACUGGGAUAACUUCGGGAAACCGGGGCUAAUACCGGAUAAUAUAUUGAACCGCAUGGUUCAAUAGUGAAAGACGGUUUUGCUGUCACUUAUAGAUGGAUCCGCGCCGCAUUAGCUAGUUGGUAAGGUAACGGCUUACCAAGGCAACGAUGCGUAGCCGACCUGAGAGGGUGAUCGGCCACACUGGAACUGAGACACGGUCCAGACUCCUACGGGAGGCAGCAGUAGGGAAUCUUCCGCAAUGGGCGAAAGCCUGACGGAGCAACGACGCGUGAGUGAUGAAGGUCUUCGGAUCGUAAAACUCUGUUAUUAGGGAAGAAAAAAUGUGUAAGUAACUAUGCACGUCUUGACGGUAACUAAUCAGAAAGCCACGGCUAACUACG